CAGAAAUGUCCCAAAAGUGCAAACCCCACCCUCCUGGUACUCUAGGCAAGCUUAAGCAUAAACUGAAAAUAUUUGAACGAUUUCAAAUGGCAUUUGAACCCAGGUCUGGCUCUGAGCCUAACAGCUAUUAUGGCCAGAUGCCAGUCAUAGUAACAGAGAAUCUGUAGCAUUUGUGAGUCAGUCUCCAGCCACGUUUGACUCUCCGUAAACACAUUGUGAUUUAAGAGCUAAAAUGGCCCACGCUCUCUCUAGCCAGUUGUGUGUGAACUGAGCAAACGUUUGUUGUUCUAUCUAAUAAGCUGUCACAGUGACACACACACGACCAAACACUAUCAUGGUCGACUCAACAGAAGGUUCAUUUUCGGAGUCAAGCAGCAUCGGUAGUAUUAUUGAGAGUUGUGAACACAGAAAAAGUGUUGGAGUUGUAUCUUUCCAGUGAUAGUGACCAUCUUCAUACGAAACCUUCAGGGCUAUGUCCUACACUGUCACACUACCAGCCCACCUCAAGUUUCUUUCUCUCCUUCUGUAGCCACUUUCACAAAGAGACAGGUUGUAGCUCAUCAGGAUGCAUGGCUCAAUUAGGCCUCUUUAGCCCUUCCAUACUGUCCAGUUCUGUGACCCAUCCACAUAUAGGUAACUGCCACAUCCACAUACAGGUAACUGACCCAUCCCCAUACAGGUAACUGCCACAUCCACAUACAGGUAACUGACCCAUCCACAUACAGGUAACUGACCCAUCCACAUACAGGUAACUGACCCAUCCACAUACAGGUAACUGACCCAUCCACAUACAGGUAACUGACACAUCCACAUACAGGUAACUGACCCAUCCACAUACAGGUAACUGACCCAUCCACAUACAGGUAACUGACUCAUCCACAUACAGGUAACUGACACAUCCCCAUACAGGUAACUGACCCAUCCACAUACAGGUAACUGACCCAUCCACAUACAGGUAACUGACACAUCCACAUACAGGUAACUGACACAUCCCCAUACAGGUAACUGACACAUCCAUAUACAGGUAACUGACCCAUCCACAUACAGGUAACUGACACAUCCACAUACAGGUAACUGACUCAUCCACAUACAGGUAACUGACUCAUCCACAUACAGGUAACUGACCCAUCCCCAUACAGGUAACUGACUCAUCCACAUACAGGUAACUGACUCAUCCCCAUACAGGUAACUGACCCAUCCACAUACAGGUAACUGACCCAUCCCCAUACAGGUAACUGACUCAUCCACAUACAGGUAACUGACUCAUCCCCAUACAGGUAACUGACCCAUCCACAUACAGGUAACUGACUCAUCUCCAAACAGGUAACUGACUCAUCCACAUACAGGUAACUGACCCAUCCCCAUACAGGUAACUGACUCAUCCACAUACAGGUAACUGACUCAUCCCCAUACAGGUAACUGACCCAUCCACAUACAGGUAACUGACACAUCCACAUACAGGUAACUGACACAUCCACAUACAGGUAACUGACACAUCCACAUACAGGUAACUGCCACAACAAUGGAAACAUAAAGUGUCUUAACAGGGCUUUGGGCCUCAUAUCUCUACAUUCUUAC
rnacentral:lncRNA from 1 species